rnacentral:rRNA from 2 species
UAGGGAAUCUUCCACAAUGGGCGCAAGCCUGAUGGAACAACACCGCGUGAGUGAAGAAGGGUUUCGGCUCGUAAAGCUCUGUUGUUGGAGAAGAACGUGCGUGAGAGUAACUGUUCACGCAGUGACGGUAUCCAACCAGAAAGUCACGGCUAACUACGUGCCAGCAGCCGCGGUAAUACGUAGGUGGCAAGCGUUAUCCGGAUUUAUUGGGCGUAAAGCGAGCGCAGGCGGUUGCUUAGGUCUGAUGUGAAAGCCUUCGGCUUAACCGAAGAAGUGCAUCGGAAACCGGGCGACUUGAGUGCAGAAGAGGACAGUGGAACUCCAUGUGUAGCGGUGGAAUGCGUAGAUAUAUGGAAGAACACCAGUGGCGAAGGCGGCUGUCUGGUCUGCAACUGACGCUGAGGCUCGAAAGCAUGGGUAGCGAACAGGAUUAGAUACCCUGGUAGUCCAUGCCGUAAACGAUGAGUGCUAGGUGUUGGAGGGUUUCCGCCCUUCAGUGCCGGAGCUAACGCAUUAAGCACUCCGCCUGGGGAGUACGACCGCAAGGUUGAAACUCAAAGGAAUUGACGGGGGCCCGCACAAGCGGUGGAGCAUGUGGUUUAAUUCGAAGCUACGCGAAGAACCUUACCAGGUCUUGACAUCUUGCGCUAACCUAAGAGAUUAGGCGUUCCCUUCGGGGACGCAAUGACAGGUGGUGCAUGGUCGUCGUCAGCUCGUGUCGUGAGAUGUUGGGUUAAGUCCCGCAACGAGCGCAACCCUUGUUACUAGUUGCCAGCAUUUAGUUGGGCACUCUAGUGAGACUGCCGGUGACAAACCGGAGGAAGGUGGGGACGACGUCAGAUCAUCAUGCCCCUUAUGACCUGGGCUACACACGUGCUACAAUGGACGGUACAACGAGUUGCGAACUCGCGAGAGUAAGCUAAUCUCUUAAAGCCGUUCUCAGUUCGGACUGUAGGUUGCAACUCGCCUACACGAAGUCGGAAUCGCUAGUAAUCGCGGAUCAGCAUGCCGCGGUGAAUACGUUCCCGGGCCU